GAUGAACGCUAGCGGCAGGCCUAACACAUGCAAGUCGAGGGGUAGAAGCUUUCGGGCUUUGAGACCGGCGCACGGGUGCGUAACGCGUAUGCAAUCUGCCUUGUACUGAGGGAUAGCCCAGAGAAAUUUGGAUUAACACCUCAUAGUAUUUUUGCCUGGCAUCAGGUGAUUAUUAAAGGUUACGGUACAAGAUGAGCAUGCGUCCCAUUAGCUAGUUGGUAUGGUAACGGCAUACCAAGGCUACGAUGGGUAGGGGUCCUGAGAGGGAGAUCCCCCACACUGGUACUGAGACACGGACCAGACUCCUACGGGAGGCAGCAGUGAGGAAUAUUGGUCAAUGGGCGCAAGCCUGAACCAGCCAUGCCGCGUGCAGGAUGAAGCAUCUAUGGUGUGUAAACUGCUUUUGUACGGGAAGAAACACUGCUACGUGUAGCAGCUUGACGGUACCGUAAGAAUAAGGAUCGGCUAACUCCGUGCCAGCAGCCGCGGUAACAC
rnacentral:rRNA from 1 species